AGCCUGAAACCAUUACCCCUUUAUGCAGAGUACCAAGACUGGUGUCAUUAUUUAAUAAAAGCACAAGAAGCAGCAGCAGCAGCAAAGGUUUGAAGUUAAAUCCACAGACCUGAAGUGGAAGUUAUAUUGAGUUCCAACUUUAUAGCAAAGUUAUAGAUAAGGGACUGUUAAAGCAGAAGGAUUGCUUAUCACAACAAGCCAUAGAACCAAAGGCAGGAGAAAUUGC
rnacentral:lncRNA from 10 species